GAUGAACGCUGGCGGCGUGCUUAACACAUGCAAGUCGAACGGGAAUUCUUUUAUUGAAACUUCGGUCGAUUUAAUUUAAUUCUAGUGGCGGACGGGUGAGUAGCGCGUGGGUAACCUGCCUUAUACAGGGGGAUAACAGUCAGAAAUGGCUGCUAAUACCGCAUAAGCGCGCAGAGCUGCAUGGCUCAGUGUGAAAAACUCCGGUGGUAUAAGAUGGACCCGCGUUGGAUUAGCUUGUUGGCAGGGUAACGGCCUACCAAGGCGACGAUCCAUAGCCGGCCUGAGAGGGUGAACGGCCACAUUGGGACUGAGACACGGCCCAGACUCCUACGGGAGGCAGCAGUGGGGAAUAUUGCACAAUGGGGGAAACCCUGAUGCAGCGACGCCGCGUGAAGGAAGAAGUAUCUCGGUAUGUAAACUUCUAUCAGCAGGGAAGAUAGUGACGGUACCUGACGAAGAAGCCCCGGCUAACUACGUG
rnacentral:rRNA from 1 species